GUUAAGCGACUAAGCGUACACGGUGGAUGCCCUGGCAGUCAGAGGCGAUGAAGGGCGUGCUAAUCUGCGAUAAGCGCCGGUAAGGUGAUAUGAACCGUUAUAACCGGCGAUACCCGAAUGGGGAAACCCAGUGUGAUUCGUCACACUAUCAUUAACUGAAUCCAUAGGUUAAUGAGGCGAACCGGGGGAACUGAAACAUCUAAGUACCCCGAGGAAAAGAAAUCAACCGAGAUUCCCCCAGUAGCGGCGAGCGAACGGGGAGGAGCCCAGAGCCUGAAUCAGCAUGUGUGUUAGUGGAAGCGUCUGGAAAGGCGCGCGAUACAGGGUGACAGCCCCGUACACAAAAGCGCAUGUGCUGUGAGCUCGAUGAGUAGGGCGGGACACGUGGUAUCCUGUCUGAAUAUGGGGGGACCAUCCUCCAAGGCUAAAUACUCCUGACUGACCGAUAGUGAACCAGUACCGUGAGGGAAAGGCGAAAAGAACCCCGGCGAGGGGAGUGAAAAAGAACCUGAAACCGUGUACGUACAAGCAGUGGGAGCCCCACCACCAAAGCAUUCUCUGGUGUUGAAGGCCCUGCAAAGCAGCAUCGCGGUGGCGGAGCGUCGUUUGCGACGCCCAACACACAAAACAAGCGGUGAAUGCUUUGGGGUGGGGUGACUGCGUACCUUUUGUAUAAUGGGUCAGCGACUUAUAUUCUGUAGCAAGGUUAACCGAAUAGGGGAGCCGGAGGGAAACCGAGUCUUAAU
rnacentral:rRNA from 1 species